AUGGCGGACAAGAUGUAUGUUGGCUUUUCGGCUUCCGGAGGUUGGGGCGUAGGUACGCACCACUAUGUCCUUGGAUGGAGUUUUAGCUUGGACGGACCUGCCCCGCUGCUAGACUUCUCCAAGCUUCCUGUCCUACCACGCCUGGGUCCCAAACCUCGGUCGAAGAUCUUGGAUGUCGUGUUGCCACUAGCUGUGACAUUGCUUGUCAUUGCAAUGCUAGUUGUCAUCUUCUUCUUCUUGUGGCAUCGGCGUCGAUUUGCUGAGGUUCGAGAAGAUUGGGAGGACGAGUUCGACCCACACCGUUUCGCGUACAGGGAUCUAUUUCAUGCCACUGAGGGGUUUUCCGGUACGAAUUUACUUGGUGUGGGAGGAUUUGGAAGAGUGUAUAGAGGAGUGCUUUCUGCGUCCAAUUUGGAGGUUGCGGUGAAGAGAGUGUCACAUGAUUCAAAACAAGGAAUAAGGGAGUUCAUCGCAGAGGUGGUGAGCAUUGGUCGUCUCCGCCACCGUAAUCUCGCUCAGUUACUAGGCUAUUGUCGGCGAAAGGGUGAACUUCUAUUGGUUUAUGAGUACAUGGAAAAUGGUAGUCUUGACAAGUACUUGUAUAAUAAAAAUAAGCCAGCUCUACAUUUAUCCGAGAGGUAUCGGAUCAUCAAAGAUGUUGCAUCAAGUUUGUUGUAUCUUCAUGAGGAAUGGGAGCAAAUCGUCAUCCAUCGAGAUAUAAAGGCUAGUAAUGUGCUCUUGGACAGUCAGAUGAUUGGACGGCUCGGUGAUUUUGGUCUAGCAAGGUUAUAUAACCAUGGGACGGUUGCUACAACAACACAUGUGGUGGGCACCAUGGGGUACCUUGCACCAGAACUUAUACGCACAGGAAAGGCGACACCUUUAACCGACGUGUUCGCAUUUGGCAUGUUUCUUCUAGAGGUCGCUUGUGGGCGUAGGCCAAUUGGAAGCAACAAGGACAUCACACAAGUAGUGCUGGUCGACUGGGUGCUUGAACAUCAUCGCAGUGGCUCAAUUCUGGAUGCGGUGGAUCCACGUCUCAUGGGGAAUUUCAACACAGAGGAAGUCACCAUCCUUCUCAAAUUAGGUUUAUUAUGCGCCUACCCAUCGCCCAAUGGAAGGCCUAGCAUGCGGAAGGUCAUGCAAUACCUGGACCGUGACCAGACAACUCCUGACCCACCUCCAACGUACAUGAGUUACAACACGAUAGCGAUGAUGCAGAAUGAGGGGUUCGACUCGUACAUAAUGUCGUGUCCUCCAUCGAACACGAGUAUGGGCACUGUACCUGGUGAGUCUUCAGUGGAGAUUCCGCAAGAGGGGAGGUGA
rnacentral:rRNA from 1 species